rnacentral:lncRNA from 1 species
GUGUUUUACCAGAAGAACCUUCUCUGGUUUAUGUUGACUUUAAGAUAUCCUUGUUUUUUUUAAUUAUUUUUUAUUAUUUUUUUGAGACAGCGUCUUGCUCUGUGGCCCAGGCUGGAGUGCAGUGGCGUGGUCUUGGCUCACUGCAACCUCUGCCUGCCAGGUUCAAGCAAUUCUCCUGCCUCAGCCUCCCGAGUAGCUGGGAUUACAGCCUGAAUUGGCAUCACCAAGAAUUAACACCUGACUGCCCGAAUCCCUGUCAGGACUGUGGGUUGCCUUGCAGCUGGCCUUUUCUCCCAGAAUCUGAAGGAGUUCUACAAGCUGAGGCUUAGCGAUUUGGCAUAAACCUUGAAAGACUCAGCCCCUCAGCACGCCAUGAAUUCUCCCUGGACAAGCUGCUGCCUGGACCACUAAGGAAGCCCAGCAAAAUGCUCAGGCCGCGUAGGCCCUUGCGUGACAAGUGCCAAGAUUGUGGACAAUAUCACAAGACAUUGACAGCUUUAAGAAACUCAAAAACUGGUGCUGGAAGAUUUUCUUCUGCUGACCUCUUGGAAUUCACUGAACCAGCUAAUUCUCAGAUUCAACUGCUGGAUUUGACUUUAAUAAAUGGCAAAAUAGAUGACCACAAAAGGCCACACUGCCGUCCCAGUUUCUUCCAGAAGACCGGUCUUCAUCCUGCUUCGUGACUCUCAUAGACUUCAGGAUGCCUCCCUCUUUUUUUUUUUUUUUUUUGAGACAGAGUCUCGCUCUGUCAUCCAGGCUGGAGUGCAGUGGCGCAAUCUCAGCUACUGCAACCUCUGCCUCCUGGGUUCAGGCAAUUCUCUUGCCUCAGCCUCCCCAGUAGCUGGGACUACAGGCAUGCACAACCAUGCCCAGCUAAUUUUUUUUUUUUUUUUGUAUUUUUAGUAGAGACGAGGUUUCACCAUGUUGGCCAGGCUAGUUUCAAACUCCUGACCUCAGGUGAUCUGCCUACCUCGGCCUCCCAAAGUGCUGGGAUUAUUACAGGCAUGAGCCACCACACCCAGCCGAUGCCUCCCUCUUUUACCUUCCUCUGUAAAACCCCAGGCCCCCUUCCUUUUCUUUGAGAUGUUCCUCAUUAAUGAGCAUUCUCUUCAUGGCACUAGCUUGAAUAAAACCAUCUCCUUAAUCAUCAAGUGAAUUUCGUCUGUCACAGUGCCAGCGAUGAACUCUCAUAAGGGCAGCCAGCACUUCGCCCCUGACUGCCCUGCUGGAGUGACAACCAUCUGUGCUGAGCCUCUUUGCAGUCCUCCUGUGGCUCAUCCCUCGGACAGCCACCCUUUCAACAUCUCAGGCCUGACCUUGCUUGACCUGAGUAUGUCUUGCCAGAAGACCUGACAUCUGCAUCCCUCUACCUUGAUGUCAUGGCAGAAUACAUACCCGUGUUCUGGCUUUUUCCCCAAGGAACAUGCUGGAGGUGUCAAAAUGGCAGAGCUAGCCCCCCACCCCGUUCUCUGCACUUUUGGAAUCCCUGCAGAAUGAGUGUGGGACCUUGUCUAGGGACGGCUGUGGUAGUCAUUGGCUUGCAGCUAAUAUCUGGUUAUGCUGGUGGAUUUUAAGAUUGCUCAGUGAUAACUGUUUCAGGAUGGAUAAUCUUCUUCAAGUCAGGGUGGUCUUCGCUGACUCCUGUUAUUUGGGCUUAUAUAACAAGGUUUUAACCAAGUGGUUGCAUAGAACCUAGUUGUUUGAAAAUUCCAGUCGUUCAAAGUUAAGUGCCUACUCUAAGUGGCCAAGACUAAGUUUUCCUGGCUCAAAGUGAUGUCAAGCUGCAGUGGCCAUUCCUCAGGGACCUCUGAUGCCAAGUUUCAUCUCUCUAAGCCUUAAAGCCUAUUUUUAUGUAAUUCAUGUGCUUGGAGUUGACUUUGAACAGGACUGGUCUUUUAAAAAUAAGCAGAAGAACAAAAGUCCUCUAGCAAUAUCAUGGCCCCAUAUGCAUGGCUGAGAGGUUCCCAAGUCGGCAGGCAGCUCCAUGUCCAACUACCUAAGUGAGGAUGAAACCAAAGUCUUCCAGUUAGGGGGGCCAGGAGCAGUGGGGUGUCCAGCAAGGGUUGCGAGGAGCAGUCAAGGACCUCUGUGGUUAUGCUCUUGGCACCAAUGGGGCACCCUAGAAGCAGGGACUCAUCUGUGCUGUCUGUCUGUACUGGUGUGUCCCUGAGUUCAGAAGACUCCCUGACAUCCUGUAAUCUAAUGUGACAAGAAUUACAGUAACUCACAGUUCCACAGGUAGUCAGAUCCUUUCUGCCCUAGGUCUUAGGGUAGAGGGUUGAGUUUGGAUUCCUGGUGGAUGACAUCAUUCUUGAUGGUUGGGAGGGGAAUAGGAAAGGAGCAUCUAUUAAGCAGAGGAAUGUGCCGUGGUUCCCUUGCAUGAUUUGCCCAUUUGACUGGUGAGUAUGUGUGCUGGGGGGAGGUGCACAUAGGUGAAUGUGUGAGUGUGUGUGAGUGGGUAUGAUGUGUAAAUGUGGGGGAGAUUCAAUGAGAGGUGGCCCAGAACACUUGUAUAAGAAGCCUACUGACCACCCCAGGAAGUGCCUGCUGGCUGGGCUGGUCAGGAAGUCAAGAAGCAGUAGAGCCCUAUUAACCUGGCAUCUUCUGCCCUGUUCAUCUACGGAUU